rnacentral:misc_RNA from 1 species
GAUGAAGAACGCAGUGAAAUGCGAUACUUGGUGUGAAUUGCAGAAUCCCGUGAACCAUCGAGUCUUUGAACGCAAGUUGCGCCCGAAGCCAUUAGGCCGAGGGCACGCCUGCCUGGGCGUCACACGUCGUUGCCCCCCCAUCUACUCCUUCGGGAUUGCGGGGGGCGGAUGAUGGCCUCUCGUGCGCCUCGUCGCGCGGUUGGCCUAAAUGCCAAGUCCUCGGCGACGCACGCCACGACAAUCGGUGGUUGCGAAACCUCGGUUGCCUGUCGUGUGCGGUCGUCGCGCAUCGAGGGCUCGAAAAAAUUGCCGGGCUUCGGCUCGACUUUCAACGCGACCCCAGGUCAGGCGGGGUUACCCGCUGAAUUUAAGCAUAUCAAUAAGCGGAGGA